CAUACCCGCUCACCCGCCCACGACGCAUGCACGGGCGCACGCGCUUUGGCCUUCCGUGAUUGCAGCAUCCAAUUCCUCGUUGAUCGCUGCAUGUCCGGGAUCGGCACGACGCCAGGCGGCCAGGCGGGUGCACUUUGGCCUUCCGUGAUUGCAUCGUCCAGUUCAUCCAGCCAGCAGCCAUGCGGGUUCUGCUACGGGGAUCGCCGGCCUCGCCUCCGCGUUCGCCCUCGACGUCGUCCCGGCCUCGCCCGUCUGCCUAGCUUGCCGCGUUACGCUGCUUGCCGGCGCCUGAUCUUCAGGCGAAUCGAGCCGCCGGAGACCCCGUUCAUCCGCGCAGAUCCCCCACCGCUCCCCCCUACGGGCGGAUGGGCGGAGCGACGCGCGGACCUCCAGCCGCGACGAGCCGUGACGCGCGGAUCGAUCCGGAAGUCGUCGCCACUCCCGGUCUCCGAGCGCUCAGGCCUCCCCUGCGCUCCGUGCCUCUCCGGCCUCCAAGAUCUGUGCGCCUGCAGCCUCCCCCGCCUGCGCCACCAACUCCGCUCCCCAUCCCACGUCACAAUCUGAAGGAAAGAAACACUCCUCCCCCUCAAUCUCCGGUGCCUCACGUCGCUCUCCCGUCUAAUCCGUUUAAGGACCAAUGUGGACGAUGCUGCCAUUGCGGCACGGCUGGAUUACUCUGCACCUUAUCCGGACGAGCUGAACCUCCAGGUAACUGAUGUGCACCGCGGAGUUCACUAUUAGGCACCGCAGAGUGCAUCUUCAGGCUCAGUUUGGCUCUUGUAGUUAAUGGAUCACGGAAGGAGAAGUUUGCAUCUGGUUUGCUGCAACAGUUCCUGGCAUACCUAAAGGCCACGCAGUUCCACUUAUGAUUUCUGCUUGUUGUUUCAGCUUGAUUUGGUAUUCAAAUUGCAUUGGUGUCCAAUUUAAUUAAUCUUUGUAAUAGCUCUUUCCUAUCUUCUUUUCUAUCAAGCAAACAUCAGGGAUACAAGGAAACAAUGAAGGUAUUAACAGAUUAGGACAUUGAUGCCUUGGUGUGUUUUGGCAAAGCAACAAAGAAAGUGAUGGAUACCUUUCACCUUUAAGAGAAGAUGAAACUGCCAUAUGUCGACCUGCUUUACAACGAGUAUCCCAUCAUGCAGCAUGUCAUGGUGACGACUGACUACGGUUUCUCGACGGCACGGCGAGGGUGGCCUGUUGCCCCAGACGGAGAGGAUCCCCUCCAGCAGUCCAGCAGCACAGUGUGGUGACGACAUGCAGUCUGGGCCUCUGGGGUCCCGAUCUUCUGCUGAUCGCAUCACCACUGAUUGCUGCCGUCUCGGCAAUCAGGUCAGCCACGCCACCUGACGUGCAGAUCAUUGCAUCGGUAUGUUUUUAUUACAUAGUAGGUCCCCUGCAAUGGAUGGUCAUCACCCACUUGGAGACAUCUCAAACACUUGCAACCGUUGUAAGUGACCAAAUCGUGAAGGAGGAUCUAAUAUCCAGGAGAACAACCUUGGUACUAUUUUGUCUGGAAUUAUUUUUAUAAUUGUUUGGUUAGUCUUGCUGGUUAUAGGUGUUACCACUAUGUAUAUAUGCAAGCUUGUUAGCAGAAAAAAAAAACAGAGCUUAAUAGUAAGAGGAGGGAAGCCUGCCAUUAGAAAAAUGCUGAGAGUGCAGUUACUAACAAACAGUAUCAAACCACCAGGUAUACUUGAUGCACUGCUUUAUUAAACACUGUGUUUUGUAUCCAAUCAAUAAAUCGAACUAUAAAUUAUACUUAUAUUGCCAAAGCAUUCCUAUCCAGACAGUACUCAAAUAUUUCAUUUGAGAGAUUUGUUUUGCUCUAUAUAUGAUUUGUAUAAUUGUAUUGAUGACUGAAGCACUCAUUCUCCAUACAGUACUCAAAGAUUUCAUUUGAGAGAGACAUGUUGCUUUAUAUGUAUUGUGUGUUGGGUUUUUUUUUUGGUUAAUUUUUUAUUGACAUAUCAGAGAAUUUUGAGUCAAAGCAGGAAAUUUUCUGUUUCGGCUUUCCUCCGUGGCUCAUGUGUUUGAAACUUUGAAUCCAUGUAGCAUCUUUUUGUGUACUUUGUACAUAAUUCUUUCUCCAAAUGUUGUUCUGACUCCUUUACAUUUAUCUCCAUUGACCUAGGAAUUGAAAAGGAAGGAAGAGGCGUCAUCCUGAGUGUUGAUGGGACUGAUUAUGGGUCUAUUAGAGUGGGCACUUACGUGGGUUGCAAGAUGAUCAAGUGGUGCUGCAUCUAACCUACUUUCAGAAGUGUUGCUCUCAUGUACGUCUAUGCAAUCAAGCAACUCAAAUCCUGUUGAAUCAUGUAGUUCUUCUGGAUGCUAGAUCUUUGGGCAUUAAUGUUUGUGCCGCAAAUCAUGUAGGCAGUUACGUCCAUGUCUUUUGUAUAUUUUGUCUUUCUUAGCAUUUUAUAAGUUUUGGAGUGAGCAAAACACAUGGAUGAUGACCUUUGGAUAAGACUAAACAUCUCAUGGAAGUAUUUAUGGUCCCGUGGCAAGAGAAAUAUAGGCCAAAUGAUUUUGACUCUUAA